GGAAGAGGAAGAAAGGGCUUCUCGAACUUUGAGUCUCCUCUUUGAGUGCACUGAAGAUUUGAUGUCAGAAGAAGAGCCUUGAAUGCGAAAGAAAAACUUCUAGGAAUGAAUUGAAUGCGUUUCUUCCUUCUUUUGCUUGUCUUUUCUCUCAAUGGACUCUUGGUAGUUGGAAAUGCCUUAAUGCAUAGUGGAGUAACUCUUUUGUUGUCUACUACUGUUAACUCUGGCUAUUUAAACAGUCCCUUUUGAAAAAUAGCCGUUAGACACUGAUUUGUAGCCGUUCUG
rnacentral:lncRNA from 1 species